rnacentral:rRNA from 1 species
UAGGGAAUCUUCCGCAAUGGGCGAAAGCCUGACGGAGCAACGCCGCGUGAGUGAUGAAGGUCUUCGGAUCGUAAAACUCUGUUAUUAGGGAAGAACAAAUGUGCAAGUAACUAUGCACGUCUUGACGGUACCUAAUCAGAAAGCCACGGCUAACUACGUGCCAGCAGCCGCGGUAAUACGUAGGUGGCAAGCGUUAUCCGGAAUUAUUGGGCGUAAAGCGCGCGUAGGCGGUUUUUUAAGUCUGAUGUGAAAGCCCACGGCUCAACCGUGGAGGGUCCUUGGAAACUGGAAAACUUGAGUGCAGAAGAGGAAAGUGGAAUUCCAUGUGUAGCGGUGAAAUGCGCAGAGAUAUGGAGGAACACCAGUGGCGAAGGCGACUUUCUGGUCUGUAACUGACGCUGAUGUGCGAAAGCGUGGGGAUCAAACAGG